rnacentral:miRNA from 1 species
CAGGGCGCUUCUCCUUUGGCA